rnacentral:rRNA from 1 species
UUAAGCGACUAAGCGUACACGGUGGAUGCCCUGGCAGUCAGAGGCGAUGAAGGACGUGCUAAUCUGCGAUAAGCGUCGGUAAGGUGAUAUGAACCGUUAUAACCGGCGAUUUCCGAAUGGGGAAACCCAGUGUGAUUCGUCACACUAUCAUUAACUGAAUCCAUAGGUUAAUGAGGCGAACCGGGGGAACUGAAACAUCUAAGUACCCCGAGGAAAAGAAAUCAACCGAGAUUCCCCCAGUAGCGGCGAGCGAACGGGGAGCAGCCCAGAGCCUGAAUCAGUGUGUGUGUUAGUGGAAGCGUCUGGAAAGGCGUGCGAUACAGGGUGACAGCCCCGUACACAAAAAUGCACAUAUUGUGAGCUCGAUGAGUAGGGCGGGACACGUGGUAUCCUGUCUGAAUAUGGGGGGACCAUCCUCCAAGGCUAAAUACUCCUGACUGACCGAUAGUGAACCAGUACCGUGAGGGAAAGGCGAAAAGAACCCCGGCGAGGGGAGUGAAAAAGAACCUGAAACCGUGUACGUACAAGCAGUGGGAGCACGCUUAGGCGUGUGACUGCGUACCUUUUGUAUAAUGGGUCAGCGACUUAUAUUCUGUAGCAAGGUUAACCGAAUAGGGGAGCCGAAGGGAAACCGAGUCUUAACUGGGCGUUAAGUUGCAGGGUAUAGACCCGAAACCCGGUGAUCUAGCCAUGGGCAGGUUGAAGGUUGGGUAACACUAACUGGAGGACCGAACCGACUAAUGUUGAAAAAUUAGCGGAUGACUUGUGGCUGGGGGUGAAAGGCCAAUCAAACCGGGAGAUAGCUGGUUCUCCCCGAAAGCUAUUUAGGUAGCGCCUCGUGAAUUCAUCUCCGGGGGUAGAGCACUGUUUCGGCAAGGGGGUCAUCCCGACUUACCAACCCGAUGCAAACUGCGAAUACCGGAGAAUGUUAUCACGGGAGACACACGGCGGGUGCUAACGUCCGUCGUGAAGAGGGAAACAACCCAGACCGCCAGCUAAGGUCCCAAAGUCAUGGUUAAGUGGGAAACGAUGUGGGAAGGCCCAGACAGCCAGGAUGUUGGCUUAGAAGCAGCCAUCAUUUAAAGAAAGCGUAAUAGCUCACUGGUCGAGUCGGCCUGCGCGGAAGAUGUAACGGGGCUAAACCAUGCACCGAAGCUGCGGCAGCGACGCUUAUGCGUUGUUGGGUAGGGGAGCGUUCUGUAAGCCUGCGAAGGUGUGCUGUGAGGCAUGCUGGAGGUAUCAGAAGUGCGAAUGCUGACAUAAGUAACGAUAAAGCGGGUGAAAAGCCCGCUCGCCGGAAGACCAAGGGUUCCUGUCCAACGUUAAUCGGGGCAGGGUGAGUCGACCCCUAAGGCGAGGCCGAAAGGCGUAGUCGAUGGGAAACAGGUUAAUAUUCCUGUACUUGGUGUUACUGCGAAGGGGGGACGGAGAAGGCUAUGUUGGCCGGGCGACGGUUGUCCCGGUUUAAGCGUGUAGGCUGGUUUUCCAGGCAAAUCCGGAAAAUCAAGGCUGAGGCGUGAUGACGAGGCACUACGGUGCUGAAGCAACAAAUGCCCUGCUUCCAGGAAAAGCCUCUAAGCAUCAGGUAACAUCAAAUCGUACCCCAAACCGACACAGGUGGUCAGGUAGAGAAUACCAAGGCGCUUGAGAGAACUCGGGUGAAGGAACUAGGCAAAAUGGUGCCGUAACUUCGGGAGAAGGCACGCUGAUAUGUAGGUGAAGUCCCUCGCGGAUGGAGCUGAAAUCAGUCGAAGAUACCAGCUGGCUGCAACUGUUUAUUAAAAACACAGCACUGUGCAAACACGAAAGUGGACGUAUACGGUGUGACGCCUGCCCGGUGCCGGAAGGUUAAUUGAUGGGGUUAGCGCAAGCGAAGCUCUUGAUCGAAGCCCCGGUAAACGGCGGCCGUAACUAUAACGGUCCUAAGGUAGCGAAAUUCCUUGUCGGGUAAGUUCCGACCUGCACGAAUGGCGUAAUGAUGGCCAGGCUGUCUCCACCCGAGACUCAGUGAAAUUGAACUCGCUGUGAAGAUGCAGUGUACCCGCGGCAAGACGGAAAGACCCCGUGAACCUUUACUAUAGCUUGACACUGAACAUUGAGCCUUGAUGUGUAGGAUAGGUGGGAGGCUUUGAAGUGUGGACGCCAGUCUGCAUGGAGCCGACCUUGAAAUACCACCCUUUAAUGUUUGAUGUUCUAACGUUGACCCGUAAUCCGGGUUGCGGACAGUGUCUGGUGGGUAGUUUGACUGGGGCGGUCUCCUCCUAAAGAGUAACGGAGGAGCACGAAGGUUGGCUAAUCCUGGUCGGACAUCAGGAGGUUAGUGCAAUGGCAUAAGCCAGCUUGACUGCGAGCGUGACGGCGCGAGCAGGUGCGAAAGCAGGUCAUAGUGAUCCGGUGGUUCUGAAUGGAAGGGCCAUCGCUCAACGGAUAAAAGGUACUCCGGGGAUAACAGGCUGAUACCGCCCAAGAGUUCAUAUCGACGGCGGUGUUUGGCACCUCGAUGUCGGCUCAUCACAUCCUGGGGCUGAAGUAGGUCCCAAGGGUAUGGCUGUUCGCCAUUUAAAGUGGUACGCGAGCUGGGUUUAGAACGUCGUGAGACAGUUCGGUCCCUAUCUGCCGUGGGCGCUGGAGAACUGAGGGGGGCUGCUCCUAGUACGAGAGGACCGGAGUGGACGCAUCACUGGUGUUCGGGUUGUCAUGCCAAUGGCACUGCCCGGUAGCUAAAUGCGGAAGAGAUAAGUGCUGAAAGCAUCUAAGCACGAAACUUGCCCCGAGAUGAGUUCUCCCUGACUCCUUGAGAGUCCUGAAGGAACGUUGAAGACGACGACGUUGAUAGGCCGGGUGUGUAAGCGCAGCGAUGCGUUGAGCUAACCGGUACUAAUGAACCGUGAGGCUUAACCUU